UAUAAAACAGUUUUAAAACCUUCUUUGCCAGCUAAGUUACAAACAACUGAUUAUCUCGACACUUUAAUCGGUUGUUUUUCCCUUUGCAUGGAAAAACACUUUAAUCUCUUAAAAAAGUUUAAAAUGAGCUUUGUCUAAGAUUCAAAACUGAUCUUACAAAGAUUCUAAACCCCAAACCAAAACCUAAACCUAAAACAUCGCACAGCUUUAAGCUUCAUGAGGAUUUGGCACAUCAAAGCUUCCCAUCUUCAACAAUAACAACCUCUGUUU
rnacentral:lncRNA from 1 species